rnacentral:rRNA from 1 species
UACAGAGGAGCCAAGCGUUGUCCGGAUUGACUGGGCGUAAAGCGCACGCAGGCGGGUGCGCGCGUGGAGGGUGAAAUCUGGCCGCUUAACGGCCAGGCGCCAUCCCAUACGGCGCGCCUGGAGCCUUGCAGAGGUCGGUGGAAUUGCCGGUGUAGUGGUGAAAUGCGUAGAGAUCGGGAGGAACACCCGUGGCGAAGGCGGCCAGCUGGGCCGGACCUGACGCUGAGGCGCGAAGGCGUGGGGAGCGAACGGG